ACUUAAAAGGACACAAAAGAGGAUUUUCGCGCCAAAAUUGAUUUAUCCUGAUUUAUCCCGAGGUUAACACUACUUUUCCGCGAUUUACCAACCUUUAAUCUAUCAUUCCCGGCACUCGCCAUCGCUCUGUAACAUUUUUGGAAAAUACAAUAAAAAGAAAACCUCCGCUUAAGCGGAGGUUUACCAACAACCACCUCCAUUUUCAUAAUUGAGCUCUCUAGACUUCCGGAUCUCGCGAGAUUCUCGUAUUGCGACCUAGUUAAAACCAGUUCAAGCUGCCGGGAAAGGACAACGUGAAACAGGAGGCUCAGUUAUGCUGGGAGUCCUUCGAAGAAGCGAAGACAGAUAACAAAAAGAAAAAAGAAACAGCCUUUACAAAAAACAUGCGUAAAACAGUGUAUCAGCAAAUGUACGACAGGCAAACAAUAAACACCGGCGAGGAAGAAGGCAGAUGAAAACCUGCUUGGGUGGCCAUGGAUACGAAGAAUGGCCUGGCCGCGAAGUAUUUACUGGAUUUUAUCAAGGUAACUUUUUCCUAUGGGAUGCCUGACCUGGAAGAAGUGCAGAUGGAAGAGGAGGAAGAUGCUGAAGAAGAGGGAAUUAAAGGAUCCUGAUGAUCCAACAUGGGACUAAAACAUGUCUUUAGAACCUUAAGGUUAUGAGCAACUGCCAGUAUGAUGUCCUGAAGAAGAGUUUUUUACAUGGAAGAGGAACUCCAUGGCUCUCCACCAAAA